CUAAAUCUUGAUGUUUCACGCACACAAACAUCCGCCCGAGAACUACGAGCACAAACGCUUAAAACUCUAAGGACUUGGCGGUGCCCUAAACCCACCUAGAGGAGCCUGUUCUAUAAUCGAUAACCCACGAUACACCCGACCACUUCUUGCCAAAGCAGCCUAUAUACCGCCGUCGCCAGCCCACCUCCAAUGAGAGCACAACAGUGGACCCAAAAACCACCCCCGCUAGUAAGACAGGUCAAGGUAUAGCCCAUGAAGUGGAAGAAAUGGGCUACAUUUUCUAAAGUAGAGCAAACCUUAACGAAAGGGGGCCUGAAACCUGCCCCCAGAAGGCGGAUUUAGCAGUAAAGAGGGACAAUCAUGCCCUCUCUAAAUCUUGAUGUUUCACGCACACAAACAUCCGCCCGAGAACUACGAGCACAAACGCUUAAAACUCUAAGGACUUGGCGGUGCCCUAAACCCACCUAGAGGAGCCUGUUCUAUAAUCGAUAACCCACGAUACACCCGACCACUUCUUGCCAAAGCAGCCUAUAUACCGCCGUCGCCAGCCCACCUCCAAUGAGAGCACAACAGUGGACCCAAAAACCACCCCCGCUAGUAAGACAGGUCAAGGUAUAGCCCAUGAAGUGGAAGAAAUGGGCUACAUUUUCUAAAGUAGAGCAAACCUUAACGAAAGGGGGCCUGAAACCUGCCCCCAGAAGGCGGAUUUAGCAGUAAAGAGGGACAAUCAUGCCCUCU
rnacentral:rRNA from 1 species